CAAGCCCGAUGCGCUAGUCUCAAAAGGAGGCAGAUUUCUACAACAAAGAAAACUGCAGAAAACUGCAGAAAACUGAUAUAUAUCGAACAGGUGGAUUUUUUUAAUGUUUUGCUGUGUUUGUUGUAUCGUUGUUGCUCUUGCUCGACUAUAAAAUAUGUCGAUCAAGGAGAUGGAUGGUCUGGUCAAAGGUCAUCAAUUGAUGAAAGCUUGGGAGUUUCUCACCAGUCAGGCUCACAGGUUGUUCCAAUCUUGCUGACAGUGUAUCUGUUCCAGCCCAGCACCGGAGGGAAGGUCCAAAUGAAGGAAAAGGUCCAGACGAAGAGUAGACCCAUUAUGGCGUGUUUGGCUUGCAGUCGGAUGUUGCCCAGAGGUCGGCAGAUCACAAAGAAUCGUUCGAAAGAUAGAAUGGCCAGAGACCAUAGGGCCACGAUUCC